rnacentral:rRNA from 1 species
AGGACGAACGCUGGCGGCGCGCUUAACACAUGCAAGUCGAGCGAGAACCGGAGCUUCGGCUCCGGGGACAGCGGCGAACGGGUGAGUAACACGUGGAUAACCUGCCCUCGGCACCGGGAUAGCCCGGGGAAACCCGGAUUAAUACCGGAUGGCCCUUCCGGCUUUCGAGCUGGUCGGAAAAGGUAGCUUCGGCCUCCGGCCGAGGAUGGGUCCGCGGCGGAUUAGCUUGUUGGUUGGGUAACGGCCUACCAAGGCUUCGAUCCGUAGCUGGUCUGAGAGGACGAUCAGCCACACUGGGACUGAGACACGGCCCAGACUCCUACGGGAGGCAGCAGUGGGGAAUCUUGCGCAAUAGGCGAAAGCCUGACGCAGCGACGCCGCGUGAGGGAAGAAGGCCUUCGGGUUGUAAACCUCUUUCAGGAGGGAUGAAGCUACUCGGGUUAAUAGCCCAGAGGGUGACGGUACCUCCAGAAGAAGCCCAGGCUAACUACGUGCCAGCAGCCGC